AUUGAACGCUGGCGGCAGGCCUAACACAUGCAAGUCGAACGAGUGGCGGACGGGUGAGUAAUGUCUGGGAAACUGCAUGAUGGAGGGGGAUCACUACUGGAAACGGUAGCUAAUACCGCAAACCAUCGGAUGUGCCCAGAUGGGAUUCGCUAGGAGGUGGGGUAACGGCUCACCUAGGCGACGAUCCCUAGCGGGUCUGAGAGGAUGACCAGCCACACUGGAACGGAGACACGGUCCAGACUCCUACGGGAGGCAGCAGUGGGGAAUAUUGCACAAUGGGUGCAAGCCUGAUGCAGCCAUGCCGCGUGUAUGAAGAAGGCCUUAGGGUUGUAAAGUACUUUCAGCGGGGAGGCGUUACCCGCAGAAGAAGCACCGGCUAACUCCGUGCCAGCAGCCGCGGUAAUUC
rnacentral:rRNA from 1 species